rnacentral:rRNA from 1 species
UGGGGAAUAUUGGACAAUGGGGGAAACCCUGAUCCAGCCAUGCCGCGUGUGUGAAGAAGGCCUUCGGGUUGUAAAGCACUUUAAGCGAGGAGGAAGGUUCGUUGGUUAAUAACCAGCGGAAUUGACGUUACUCGCAGACUAAGCACCGGCUAACUCUGUGCCAGCAGCCGCGGUAAUACAGAGGGUGCAAGCGUUAAUCGGAAUUACUUGGCGUAAAGCGCGCGUAGGCGGUGGUGUAAGUUGGAGGUGAAGUCCCCGGGCUUAACGUGGGCACUGCCCUCAAAACUGCACGGCUAGAGUAUGGGGGAGGAAGGUCGAAUUCCAGGUGUAGCGGUGAAAUGCGUAGAGAUCUGGAGGAAUACCGAUGGCGAAGGCAGCCUUGUGGCCUAAUGCGGACGCUGAGGUGCGAAAGCAUGGGG